CUUGCUUCGGCAACACAUACUAAAAUUAGAACGAUACAGAGAAGAUUAGCAUGGCCCCUGCACAAGGAUGACAUGCAAAUUCAUGAAGCGUUCCAUAUUUAA